rnacentral:rRNA from 1 species
GAUGAACGCUGGCGGCGUGCCUAAUACAUGCAAGUCGAGCGAACGGACGAGAAGCUUGCUUCUCUGAUGUUAGCGGCGGACGGGUGAGUAACACGUGGAUAACCUACCUAUAAGACUGGGAUAACUUCGGGAGACCGGAGCUAAUACCGGAUGAUAUUUUGAACCGCAUGGUUCAAAAGUGAAAGACGGUCUUGCUGUCACUUAUAGAUGGAUCCGCGCUGCAUUAGCUAGUUGGUAAGGUAACGGCUUACCAAGGCAACGAUGCAUAGCCGACCUGAGAGGGUGAUCGGCCACACUGGAACUGAGACACGGUCCAGACUCCUACGGGAGGCAGCAGUAGGGAAUAUUCCGCAAUGGGCGAAAGCCUGACGGAGCAACGCCGCGUGAGUGAUGAAGGUCUUCGGAUCGUAAAACUCUGUUAUUAGGAAAGAACAGAUGUGUAAGUAACUGUGCACAUCUUGACGGUACCUAAUCAGAAAGCAACGGCUAACUACGUG